rnacentral:rRNA from 1 species
GACGAACGCAGGCGGCGUGCCUAAUACAUGCAAGUCGAGCGGACAGAUGGGAGCUUGCUCCCUGAUGUUAGCGGCGGACGGGUGAGUAACACGUGGGUAACCUGCCUGUAAGACUGGGAUAACUCCGGGAAACCGGGGCUAAUACCGGAUGGUUGUUUGAACCGCAUGGUUCAAACAUAAAAGGUGGCUUCGGCUACCACUUACAGAUGGACCCGCGGCGCAUUAGCUAGUUGGUGAGGUAACGGCUCACCAAGGCGACGAUGCGUAGCCGACCUGAGAGGGUGAUCGGCCACACUGGGACUGAGACACGGCCCAGACUCCUACGGGAGGCAGCAGUAGGGAAUCUUCCGCAAUGGACGAAAGUCUGACGGAGCAACGCCGCGUGAGUGAUGAAGGUUUUCGGAUCGUAAAGCUCUGUUGUUAGGGAAGAACAAGUACCGUUCGAAUAGGGCGGUACCUUGACGGUACCUAACCAGAAAGCCACGGCUAACUACGUGCCAGCAGCCGCGGUAAUACGUAGGUGGCAAGCGUUGUCCGGAAUUAUUGGGCGUAAAGGGCUCGCAGGCGGUUUCUUAAGUCUGAUGUGAAGGCCCCCGGCUCAACCGGGGAGGGUCAUUGGAAACUGGGGAACUUGAGUGCAGAAGAGGAGAGUGGAAUUCCACGC